rnacentral:rRNA from 1 species
UUCUGAGCGCGGUGGACCCGCUAGUGGGAAAGAGGUAGGGGCAUCCCCGAGACGGGGGGCCGUCCCCACUGCGGUCAUUCUGCCGUUCCCGACGCAUUUGUCUCUCGUCCGAAGGACGCCGCAGCCGGUCGAGCAGCGCAAGCGUGACGGCCUGAGGGUCGGGAGAUGGCAGGUGGCCGCUGGCGGAUCUCGUGUCCGUCGGCGGUUGUUAGCCGUCCCGACAGUGGCACGUCGCUCGACCGAGGUGUCGCAAGUCCCCUCGGGGACUCCACGUCUCCAUCUUUAAGAUGCGAUCGAGGAGUCGCAGGCUCCGCGACCCGCGUCGUCGCACCGCCUCGCGGUGGGCGCGUGGUCUCGCGGUACCGCUGGCGAAAUCCGCAUCGCUGGAGGCCGGAGGCUAGCGGCGAGUAGGUCGGUCACCCACCCGACCCGUCUUGAAACACGGACCAAGGAGUCCAACAUGUGCGCGAGUCAGUGGGUCUUGAACAGGCCCACGGGCGCAAUGAAAGCGAAGGCAGGCUCUCCCCGGCCGAGUUGGGAUCCCCUCCCCAGGGGGGGGCGCACCAACGACCCGUCCCGUCCGGUUCGCCGGUGGGAUGGAGUGUGAGCGUACACGUUGGGACCCGAAAGAUGGUGAACUAUGCCCUGGACAGGACGAGGCCAGAGGAAACU